rnacentral:rRNA from 1 species
GUGAGGAAUAUUGCGCAAUGGAGGCAACUCUGACGCAGCCAUGCCGCGUGCAGGAAGAAGGCGCUACGCGUUGUAAACUGCUUUUAACCGGGAAGAAACCCCAGGACGUGUCCUGGGUUGACGGUACCGGAGGAAUAAGCACCGGCUAACUUCGUGCCAGCAGCCGCGGUAAUACGAAGGGUGCAAGCGUUAUCCGGAUUCAUUGGGUUUAAAGAGUGCGUAGGCGGAGCGUUAAGUCAGUGGUGAAAUCCUGCAGCUUAACUGUAGACUUGCCAUUGAUACUGGCGCUCUUGAGUGCGCUUGAAGUGGGCGGAAUGUGCCGUGUAGCGGUGAAAUGCUUAGAUAUGGCACAGAACACCAAUUGCGAAGGCAGCUCACUAAGGCGAUACUGACGCUGAGGCACGAAAGCGUGGGGAUCGAACAGGAUUAGAAACCCCAGUAGUCC